AAAAUUUACGUCUGUUCUGUGCUGCAUUCGAGAUGGCAAAGAAUAGGGUAAGAAAGAAAAAGAGACGGAGCAAGGAAGAUGAGAACGAACAUAAGUCUCUCAACUCUACACUGCGGGGAGCAUCAUCCUGGCUUUCAGGACCAGUGCAUUCAAGGAC